rnacentral:lncRNA from 1 species
UACGACACCUCAUCUCCUGUUGCCACCGUCCCUCCGCCACCCUCUGCAGUCCGUCGCCGGCGGCAAGUCUCCAAACCAUACCACUCGCUCCUCUCACUCCCCUGAACAUUAAAAUGUCCAUAGUUCCCCCCCCCCUCCCAAAACCCCACCUGUUCAGUCUUGGGCUCAAAUCAGAGGAUGAGCAAGAAUCUUAGGACAACCAGCCUGGCUGGGCUCUCAAUGGUUAUCCUCGAGCGGAUUCAGGACUUGCAUUAAAUAAUUGUUCUAGCCAAGAAUAAUUUAUUAAUGCUAGUUUUGGAUCCGUUUGAGAGUCACCAGUUUCCAACCAAGGUGCCCAAAUUGGUCGAAUUUUGCUUCGCAUGGUAGUCGUUUCAAUUCGUCGAUUCAAUCCAAUCAAAGUGGUACACCCAUCUCUCUCUUUCAAAUGUUUUUUAUUAUUUUAUUUUAUUUUCAUUUGUUCUGGCAGUCUUUGUUUCAUCCCCAUCCCUUUCUUUUACUUGGUUGAACUAGUUUCAGCAUGUUAAGGAUUGUCGAACCCAUUAAUGACAUAGGGGUAAACACUAAAAGCACCUGCGCUUGGAUUACCCCUGAAUUGGGUGCUAAUUUGAUUAUUGUUUGGGCUAUCUUGAUUUAGUCUGGACUUUUUGAUUAUGGGCUGGGCAACCCAAAACCAAGUAAUAGGAUGUUUUAGACGGAGGGCAAAAAAUCGGAACAAUUCAGGAUAUUUUAGGGAAACGGGAUGGGAAUUCUUUGGUAACCGAAUUGGAAGCUUCCUGGAAGAUGACUUGGGGUUGUUUUGGAGAUUUUUGAAAAUUAAUUAGAGUAAUCAAGGCAAAAAAAAUGAAAAAUGCAAAUGCAAUUUUGAAAAUGUAAAAGGACAAUAUUGCAAAGCUAGAAUUUAUUGUUUGCCCUACUUUCCUUGAUUAUAGAGGCAUAUUUUCUUGCCUUUCAAGGCAAGAACAAGAGGAAAUAGAGUCUGAAAAAAGCAUUAGCUAGUGAAAUUUUUCUCUACACACUUUGAUUGGGAUUUUCUGAAAUUUGAAGUUUGCUUUUUCUUGCUUUGGGAAUUUUUUGUCCAUUCGAAGGAAAAAGGUUGAAAUUGAUGGUUUUCGAAAGCUUCUGAUUCAAUUUGAUCAAAAUUUACUGUUCCAUUGAGGCUUUUGAGACUAUUUCACUUGUUUCUACUGCUGAAUCUGUUUGUUUCCAUAGCUGACCCUUUACUUUCAACACUGCUGAUACUUGAUUUGGUUUUAUUUUCAGUUCCAGGUAUGCCUAAUGACACCAUGGUCAUCAUCUAAAUGUAGGUGAAGUUGGGAUUGAAGUAUGGAAUAGUAUAUGAAGUUGUUUAUAGUCAAUUGUACUUGCUUUCUUCAUUUAAUUGUGCUGUAAUAUCUAGCUUUAAAGAUGUAUUGAUUGGAAUGUUGAUAGGUAUACUUAGGGAUGGCAAGUAAAAUUUAAGCCAUGUUAUUU